rnacentral:rRNA from 1 species
CAAUAGCGUAUAUUAAAGUUGUUGCGGUUAAAAAGCUCGUAGUUGGAGUUCUGCCAGGUGACGCUCGUCCGCCCAAGUGGUGUGUACAGGGCGUGCAUCUGGCCCUUUCAAGGGGAACGUGUCUGCACUUUACUGUGUGGUGCGAGAUCCUUGACUUUUACUUUGAGGAAAUCAGAGUGUUCCAAGCAGGCUCUCGUCGUGUAUAGCUCAGCAUGGAAUAAUAGCAUUGGACUUCGUUUCUAAGCUGUUGGUUGCAAGAAGCGAGGUAAUGAUGAAGAGGGAUAGUUGGGGGCAUUCGUAUUUAACUGUCGGAGGUGAAAUUCUUGGAUUUGUUAAAGACGGACUACUGCGAAAGCAUCUGCCAUGGAUGUUUUCAUUGA